GUGCAGGAAAUCCUGAAGGUCACAUAUACCUCCUCUCUGUCCUGGUCACUUCCUCUUGCAAGUGGAAGCAGAUUGGUAUGUACAUACCCCUUUGCUCUGUCCACACCAGGAGUCCACAGGUGGUUCUGCCCUUUGGGCUGCUCCCUGGUUGCCUGGAGGCAUGGCCGUAAUGGAUUCCACAUGUGCCAGUCCUGUCGCCGUUCCUGGGUUUCAGGGAGAAAUGGGCGAUCCAGAUCCUCAGGUGGCGCUUAUCAUCGUCUUUAGGACGGAUGUCAGGCGCAUCGGAGGAGUCUGGUUAUACAAUCACCGUAUCGAGGCUGUUGCCUGACCGUCACUCCAGGGCUCGGCCUGGUCGCUGCAGCCCGUACCCGCUCCUUUGGAGGUUCCGUCCCUCUCUGUGACUGAAGCGGUUCGAUGGCUGGCUUUCGUAUACCUUCUGUGCGGUGCGGAGAGAGGAACAGAGGCUGGUGGGCGCUCUUUGGUUUUUCGAGAGGUGGAAGUCUUUUGGACAGGGAUCCUGGAAUUCUGGUGGUCAUAACUCC